rnacentral:rRNA from 1 species
UACGGAGGGAGCUAGCGUUGUUCGGAAUCAUUGGGCGUAAAGCGCGCGUAGGCGGCCCGGUAAGUCCGUUGUGAAAGUCAAAGGCUCAACCUUUGAACGCCGAUGGAUACUGCCGGGCUAGAGUCCGGAAGAGGCGAGUGGAAUUCCUGGUGUAGCGGUGGAAUGCGCAGAUAUCAGGAAGAACACCGGUGGCGAAGGCGGGUCUCUGGGCCGUAACUGACGCUGAGGAGCGAAAGCGUGGGGAGCGAACAGG